rnacentral:sRNA from 1 species
UCGCCGAAAGGCGAGUCCCCUGAGUGGGAGUUC